AGCAGCCGCGGUAAUUCCAGCUCCAAUAGCGUAUAUUAAAGUUGUUGCAGUUAAAAAGCUCGUAGUUGAAUUUCGGGGUUAGCAGGUCGGUCGUGCCAUCGGUAUGAACUGGUCUCGCUGAUCCCUCCCUCUUGACGAACUGUGAUGCCAUUAAUUUGGUGUCGCAGGGAAUCAGGACUGUUACUUUGAAAAAAUUAGAGUGUUUAAAGCAGGCUCACGCUUGAAUACAUUAGCAUGGAAUAAUGAAAUAGGACGUUUGAUCCUAUUUUGUUGGCUUCUAGGAUUGACGUAAUGAUUAAUAGGGAUAGUUGGGGGCAUUAGUAUUCAAUUGUCAGAGGUGAAAUUCUUGGAUUUAUUGAAGACUAACUACUGCGAAAGCAUUUGCCAAGGAUGUUUUCAUUAAUCAAGAACGAAAGUUAGGGGAUCGAAGACGAUCAGAUACCGUCGUAGUCUUAACCAUAAACUAUGCCGACUAGGGAUCGGAUGAUGUUAAU
rnacentral:misc_RNA from 1 species